rnacentral:rRNA from 1 species
UGGGGAAUAUUGCACAAUGGGCGAAAGCCUGAUGCAGCAACGCCGCGUGAGGGACGACGGCCUUCGGGUUGUAAACCUCUUUUAGCAAGGAAGAAGCGAAAAGUGACGGUACUUGCAGAAAAAGCGCCGGCUAACUACGUGCCAGCAGCCGCGGUAAUACGUAGGGCGCAAGCGUUAUCCGGAAUUAUUGGGCGUAAAGAGCUCGUAGGCGGUUUGUCGCGUCUGCUGUGAAAACCCGAGGCUCAACCUCGGGCCUGCAGUGGGUACGGGCAGACUAGAGUGCGGUAGGGGAGAUUGGAACUCCUGGUGUAGCGGUGGAAUGCGCAGAUAUCAGGAAGAACACCGAUGGCGAAGGCAGAUCUCUGGGCCGUAACUGACGCUGAGGAGCGAAACGGUGGGGAGCAAACAGGCUUAGAUACCUGGUAGUCACCCGUAAACGUUGGACUAGUUGUGGGGUCCAUUCCACGGAUUCCGUGACGCAGCUAACGCAUUAAGUUCCCCGCCUGGGGAGUACGGCCGCAAGGCUAAAACU